GAAAUGCGAUAAGUAGUGUGAAUUGCAGAAUUCAGUGAAUCAUCGAAUCUUUGAACGCACAUUGCGCCCCUUGGUAUUCCAUGGGGCAUGCCUGUUCGAGCGUCAUUUGUACCCUCAAGCUCUGCUUGGUGUUGGGUGUUUGUCCCGUCUCCGCGCGUGGACUCGCCCCAAAGUGAUUGGCAGCCGGCGUACUGGUCCCGGAGCGCAGCACAUGUCGCGCAAACGAGUGCCUUGGUACGGCGGCGUCCAUAAGCCCCUCUCUCACGCUCUUGACCUCGGAUCAGGUAGGGAUGCCCGCAGAACUUAAGC
rnacentral:misc_RNA from 1 species